rnacentral:rRNA from 1 species
GACGAACGCUGGCGGCGUGCCUAAUACAUGCAAGUAGAACGCUGAAGGAGGAGCUUGCUUCUCUGGAUGAGUUGCGAACGGGUGAGUAACGCGUAGGUAACCUGCCUGGUAGCGGGGGAUAACUAUUGGAAACGAUAGCUAAUACCGCAUAAGAGUAGAUGUUGCAUGACAUUUGCUUAAAAGGUGCAAUUGCAUCACUACCAGAUGGACCUGCGUUGUAUUAGCUAGUUGGUGGGGUAACGGCUCACCAAGGCGACGAUACAUAGCCGACCUGAGAGGGUGAUCGGCCAGACUGGGACUGAGACACGGCCCAGACUCCUACGGGAGGCAGCAGUAGGGAAUCUUCGGCAAUGGACGGAAGUCUGACCGAGCAACGCCGCGUGAGUGAAGAAGGUUUUCGGAUCGUAAAGCUCGGUUGUAAGAGAAGAACGAGUGUGAGAGUGGAAAGUUCACACUGUGACGGUAUCUUACCAGAAAGGGACGGCUAACUACGUG